AUUGUAAUUCCGUUCAUUUGUUGUUAAGUUCUCUCAUUUUUUUUUUUUAAACCGGAAUUGGUUUUCAUUAAUUCAAGUUUGGUACAGUAGGUAAGAAAAGUAAAGCUGAUUUAGCUAACGCAUCAGCUUUCUUAUUCAUGUCUCUUGGUACAAACACGAAGGAAACAUAAUCGAAACGAAGAGAUAGAUUGAGGAUGUCGUGGUGAAUCCCAUGAAAGUCCUUGAAAGAAGCCUCCAAAUUAAGCGCUUUGAUCAACUGUAGUGAAUAUGAAGCGAAAGAAACUCGUUUCAAAUCUAGCUCAAGAGCUUGGUGGAUGGCGAGGAGUAGAGCCGAUGCUUUGGCUAUUAAAGGAGAAGCGAUGUUUGAGGCCACAGAUCCGGCUUUGAUUUUCGAUGAUUGAGACCUGUCAAGAAAGAUCCAGCCAAAUCCAGCUUCCCUCGUCUCCUCUCGCCAUGAACCGUCAGAGAAACAUUGGAUGGUAUCCAAACGGAGAUCUGGAGUUGCUCGGAUCUGGUUUGAUGUUUUGGAGAUGGUGUUUGGUCUUGGGCUGCAGACCAGUCUCGAGCUAAAACGAUGGCGAGUGUUAUAAUUUCUGAGCAGGUGAAGAGGCAGAUUUCAAAGAUCUUCUUAUUUCUCGAGUACCAAUUAAACCACAAGAUCAAGGGGCUAGAUUCCCAGUUCCUACUCCACAGGGAGGUAAACAGAUUAACUUGUUGAUUACCUCAAUUCCAUGUUGAGUGGUCGUGAACAGUUCUGUGCGUGGUGGGGUUUUAAAAGGUGCUGAUCUCCAGACUUCUGCUGCAAAGGGGCAGUGGAACAGUAAAUGAAUGACGGAUUCGUCAGCAUUGCAGUGUGGACAGGUAGCAUCCGGAUUGAUUCCUCUGAUUCACAGUUUUUGGCCAGUAGGAAGGGCGUUCCUCAUACCUUUCCAGGUUAGAAACCAGACUUUUGGUGGGCAGUGAAGGUUCCAGAUGUUUUUAUUCCAGUUGAAAGUUGGAUUGGGAACCAGGUGGUUUGGUCUUCCUCUCUCUGAAGCCGCAUGGUAUCUCGUUUUGGCCGAGUAUACACCCGAUUUGGUAGGUAGCCAAGAGUACUGAUCAGGGGCUCCUAGCUUGCUUGGACGAAGGAUACAGAUCUCAUUCUCGUAUUGAGGAGGUCCAUAAGGGAUAACUGGUGAUGAAAGCGAUAACCAUGGAUCAUUCCAAACAGAAGUUGUCGAUCCCGACCCAAUUGCUUUACCUAGAGUAGUUUUCAGGAGGUCUCUCCCAAUACAAAUACCACGUCAACCAUGCGAAGCAUUAGAGGAGACGGUACAAUCCAGGAAAGAGCUUGCUUUGCAAUACUUGCCAAGAAGGGUUUUAGCCAAAAGGCAGUCUGGUCUAGUAAGAAUACGCCAACUCUCUUUUGCUAAGAGAGCAUCGUUGAAACAGAAGAAUCCCACCAGAACCGAGUGAGGGCUGAUUGGAUUCUCUUGCAUAAAGACAUCAAAAGCUUGAAGCAUGACAUGGUGUAGGUUGGCAUGGCCGAGAGGACAGACUUCAACAUAGUAGUCUUUCCCGCAAUUGAUAAGUGUUUUGAUGACCAACUUACUGCCUUUUGACGUAUUCUAUCUACUAUGAAAUUGAAUAGAUCCUACUUUUUCCUGCCAAACAUCUCAGGUAGGCCUAGAUAUUUCCCAAGACCUCCAGCUCUCUGAAUUCCUAAAGUUUGUUGGGCCAGCGUCUUCACAUCUUCAGGGGUCUUUGACGAAAAGAAAAACAUAGUAUCGUCAGCGAAGAGGAGAUGGUUUAUUCGGGGGCAAUCAAUAGCAACACAGAUCCCAAGUAGUUUAUUCUCCUUCUGUGCAUUUAGACAGAGGCCCAAUAGGACCUCACCACACAGGAUGAACAGAUACGGAGAUAGCAGAUCCCCUUGUCUGAUUCCUCUUUGGGGAACAACUGAGCCUUGGGCUGAGCCAUUUAACAGAUAGGAAUAGGAAACUGUGGUCACACAUUGCAUAAUCCAUUAUAUCCACUUCCUAUGGAAGCCCAUCCUUUCCAUGACCACUCUGAUAAAAUCCCACUCAAUACGAUCAUAAGCCUUAGCCAUAUCUGAUUUUACUGCCAUGUAGCAACGUUUCUUUGCAUCUGAGGUUUUUAGAUAGUGCAAGAUCUCAUGAGUUAUAAGGACAUUAUCAGUGAUGGCUCUG